GUUAAGAUGGCAGGGCCAGGUGAUUGCAUAAGACUUAAAACUUUAUAAUCAGAGGUUCAACUGUGCUUCUUAACA
rfam:Dipodomys ordii contig_76813, whole genome shotgun sequence.